GUUAUAGUAGUAUUAACUGGGUAACACAACAUGUAUGAAAUUCUUUAUGUAGGACACAAAAAGAUAUUUAGAAGAAUGCUAAGUGUUAUUUUGUCUGUACAGUGAAAGUCAUUUAAAUGAUUGUCUGAGGUUCCACAGGGUUAUAUUUUGGGAUCCCUCGUGAGCUAUAGGAAGCUUUGGACUAAACGAAAGAAGAAAUUUACACACAUUUGGCACAACAUGAGGUAAGUACUGUAAAUAAUAGUAUAUGAAUUUCAUUUUUGGGUGAACCCUACAUUUUCUCAUGGUAAUUUUUAAGCAUUGUGUCCUUUAGAGUCCAUUUCAACUCAGAUUUCAUAUAAGUCUUAACAUAGACAACCUGUAUAAACUUGUGUUCAUACAACAUUGCACACUCCAUGAAUGCUGUCUGCAAGUCUUUUUUCAGUUCUCACAAUAUCUAUGAAUUUUGUUACAAAUCACAGUGGCUGAAAUAAAUUUCAAAGAUGCUGACUUCCACAGCAAAAGGUCUCAUCAUAACUGGUAUUAUUUAAUACUUUCACCUCGGUACCCCAAAAAAAAGUGCCAAGAAUGAUGCCCACAACUACUUUUUAUCAGACAUGUGAAAUUGUUAUAUAACUUUAAUAAAGGAAAGACGAUGCAAAGAUUUGAUAAAGGUGUCUUUUAUUUGAAAGGAAAAGACAUGAUCACAACAACACAACAUAAAAACAAAAUGGGACAACUGAUGAUCAUAAACAAUCAUUGUCAUUACAAAAUGUAUUAAAUAUAAAGCUUCAAUAGUGUUUUGACCUUUAGAUUUUUUGGUUGUAGUCAUUAAAAUGUUAAAAUUUUGUUACAAUUUUUAAGUUAGUGUUGAAAUGUGCUAGUUAAAACUCAUUGCAUAUAUGCUCUGAGACACUUACAAUAAGGCACUUUGGACUAAAUAAAUAUCGAAAGUGUUAAGUCCAGCAUGUCUUUAGAUCAUUUUAUCAUUGGCCCAUGAGGUUUUUCUGAUGUGUUGUGGAGGUUGAUCUCAAAUAUGAUGUUCAAAGUUUCCUCUCCUUGGUUUCUGUGCUUGAAGACACCACCUUCCCGUCCACCAGCGUUUGCGUGACAGU